rnacentral:rRNA from 1 species
UACGUAGGGUGCAAGCGUUGUCCGGAAUUAUUGGGCGUAAAGAGCUCGUAGGCGGUCUGUCGCGUCUGCUGUGAAAACUCAGGGCUUAACCCUGAGCUUGCAGUGGGUACGGGCAGACUAGAGUGCGGUAGGGGGAGAUUGGAAUUCCUGGUGUAGCGGUGGAAUGCGCAGAUAUCAGGAGGAACACCGGUGGCGAAGGCGGAUCUCUGGGCCAUUACUGACGCUGAGGAGCGAAAGCGUGGGGAGCGAACAGG